rnacentral:rRNA from 1 species
GUGAGGAAUAUUGGUCAAUGGACGAGAGUCUGAACCAGCCAAGUCGCGUGAAGGAAGACGGUUCUAUGAAUUGUAAACUUCUUUUGUGCAGGAAUAAAGUGGGUUACGUGUAACCUUUUGUAUGUACUGUACGAAUAAGGAUCGUCUAACUCCGUGCCAGCAGCCGCGGUAAUACGGAGGAUCCGAGCGUUAUCCUGAUUUAUUGGGUUUAAAGGGCGCGUAGGUGGAUUGAUAAGUCAGCGGUGAAAGUUUGCAGCUUAACUGUAAAAUUGCCGUUGAAACUGUCGGUCUUGAGUGCAAAUGAGGUAGGCGGAAUGUGUUGUGUAGCGGUGAAAUGCUUAGAUAUAACACAGAACUCCGAUUGCGAAGGCAGCUUACUGGGAUGCAACUAACACUGAUGCACGAAAGCGUGGGUAUCAAACAGGAUUAGAAACCCUUGUAGUCC